UGAUGCAGAAGAAGUAAUACUGUUGUGAAGAGCUGUUUGUGAGCAAACCACCCAGAAGGUGUCACCCCAUCCCUGGCUUCCAAUGCCUCCCUCCCUGCUGCCAGCCUAUCAUCUCUGAAUCACAGCCAGCCCAUCCCUGGGACCACCAGGUGCUGGGGAAGCCAGUGCCAUGGGAAGAGGAGGACCUGUGGCACAGCAGAGGGAGCCUGCCCGGCGCCGCAGGGAAUCACAUCCGGGGCUGCUUUCCCUCCCUGCCCAGCCUCUCCCUGCUCUCCCACGGGCCCGGGGCUGGAGAUGUUUGCUUUUCCCUCGGCCGUGGUUUUUCCCAGGCUCGCAGCUCACAGAGGAGCAUUGAUUUGGUCAGGGAUGCUCCCAUGGAGAAACCCAGCAGCACCACUCCUCUGGGAUGAGGAGGAGGAGGAGGAGCAGGGCAGCCUCAGCCCCAGCGCACGGGAAUUCAGUUGUUUUCCCUUCUUGGACUUCUCGGCCGCGGUGAUUCAUCCCGGGAGGACACGGCCUGGCUGCAAUUCUGCUUUUCAAGUGGCAUGCUCUGAGAGAAGAGGAAGCUGUAGAGGCCAAACCCCAGUGCUGCCUGGCUGCACCUUUCCUUCAUGUGAGGGCACCUCCAUCUCCAUCCUGGAUUUGGGAGAAGCUCCUGCUGCAGCUCUGAAAGCUGUGGGAUGCCCCAUGGGAGCUGCUGUGACCAGGUGAGGGAGCUCAGCAAGGGGAGACCUCAGCACAUCACCUGUCUGGACACUCCCAUCACAUAGGGAUCAUUAUCCAGGGGAGUAUCAGAAAUAUCCCUGGGAAAGGCUCUAAAUCAGUGGGAGAAUCACAGAGUGGUUUGGACCAGAUGGCACCUUAAGUUCAUCUUGUUCCUACCCCCUGCCAUGGGCAGGGACACGUCCCAAUAGAACAGGUUGCUCCAAGCCCACCCAGUCUGCCCUUGAACACUUCCAAGGAUCCCACAACCCUUGCAAUGAUGGAUUAGGGCUGCAGGAACAGCUCUGAGCUUCCAUCCCAGCUGGGUUUGGCAGGAGGUUACCUGGAGGUUACAUCACAGGGAUGCCGACCUGCUGCUUCCUUGGCAAGAGCAGAUGGAAGAAGGAGGCCACCUCCUCCCAGGGGCUUUGCAGGCAUGUGAUUUUCCAUGGAAAAGCCCAGGCAUCUGUGCACAGAUGCAGGCAGGGUGCAGGCAGGCUGCCCAGUGCAUCUCUGAGAAUCCAUCCCUGCACCAGGGCCUCUCCAUACCCCAUGUGUGCAUCCCUGCACCAGGGACCCCUUCCCUUAAUAACAUUAAUUAUUUAGAAAUGCCACUAGGUGCCACAGCCUCAUCUUGGGGACCUGCCAAUGUCCCCAAGGCAGCACCAGCCAACGCUCCAGGAGGUUCCUCAUUAACCCAUUUUAAUUACAAUGCUCAAUGGUUUCAUAGCACUUUCCAGCCCACGAUCAGAGAAGAUAAAAAACUAAACCUAAACUGGUCCAUCAGGCAAAAAAUGCUGCCAUAUUCCCCCUAGAUUCCCUUAGUGAGUGUCCCUGUCUCCAUACCCCCUGUAUGUGUAUCCCUGCACUCCGGGACUGGACAUGCACACAAAUCCCAGGGAUUUCCCUGGAUGCACAGGCUCCAGAUCCAUCCUCUCCCUCCGUGCCCACCCCAUCCCCAGGGAGCUGCUGGUGCAUCCCAGCUGCAGCACUGUGGGUCCCUCCAGAGGCUGGGAGCCCAUUCCAGCCUCCCACCCUGGCUCCAGGGCCUGGAUCCUGCCCAGAGCCUGACCUUUGGAUCAGGCCAAGGCCAGCCCCCAGCACCAGCUCAGCCCAGGGAUAACCCUGUCAUUCCAAGGCUGAAUCCUGCCCCACACCACCAGCACAGGCCUCAAAGGAUGCACAUCCCUUGUGGAUCAUCCUCCUUCCCCCAGUGGAGCUCGCUGCCUAAUUAAUUAGAGGCUUUUAAUUAAAGUGGAGGGACAAGGGACAAAGCGGUCCUGUCCAAAGAGCUGGCAGUGAGGAAGGGGAGGGGCAGAAAUGGGCAGAGUUAAGGUGAUUUUGGGCACUGGGGAAGAGUAAAAAUUGGGCAGAGUUUAGGGGGUUUUGUCAGCAGGGAAAGAAAAGAGGUAAAAAUGGGCAGAGUUAAGUGAAUUUUGGCACCGGGGAAGGAAAGAGGUAAAAAAUGGGCAAAGAUAAGGGAUUUUGGCACAGGGGAAGGAAAGAAUAAGAAAUGGGCUAAGAUAAGGGAUUUUGGCAGUGAGGAAAGAAAGAGACAAAAAUGGGCAGAGUUAGGGGGAUUUGGGCUGUGUCACCCCCCUGAUGCCAGGGUCAAUCCAUGCCACUGGCAGGCAGCAUCCCCUGAUCCCAGCCUCAGUUUCCCCCCACUCCAUCCCACAUCCCACCUCUAUGAAGGGCUGCCUCAGUUUCCCCCCACUCCAUCCCACAUCCCACCUCUCUGAAGGGCUGCCUCAGUUUCCCCCCAGUCCAGCAUUUCACUGAGCACAGCAGAUCCAGGGACACAAAACCCGGGCAAACCAUUGGAGCAGGGAGAGGAGAGCCAAGAUUUGCCCAUUCCCACCUCGCCCCUGUAGCUGCUUUAAUUAAUCAGAGAUUCCCAGUAACACCAAAAAAACCGAGAUAACUCCCAGCCACAGCCCCCAACGUGGGGAUUCACACAAAUGGAACAGAGGGAAACUGAGCCCAAAGAUGACAAACUGCAGGAAUAUACGGCCAGUGCAUGGAUCCGGCUCUGAGCUGUCCCCACAGCGAGGAGGAGCCUCUGGAGGAGGGGGAUGAGCCGGGAGGGAGGAUGCAGGGGAGGAAAUGUCCACAAGCUUCCCUGGGAACGUGACCCCGCCGCUCCCUGCGGGAUCCCCUCCGUCCCCGAUGGCUUUUCCGGGGUGCGGCCGCCCCGCUCGGGACCCGCAGGUGGGGAAGGCCGCGUUCCCACGACUGCCCUGCUCCCCAGAGGUGCUAUAUUUAAAUCAAUAUUUUCCUGUUUAAUCCAAGCGCUGCUAGGUCAACAAACACAGCAGGACAGCGAGCAUACCUCAUUUUCCAUCCUCAGAUGGAUUCGGCCGUGGGGGGAACAGAGAUCCGAGGGGUUGCCAGUCUGGCAUCCCGAGCAGCAAGUGGACCCCAAAUCCAUCCCAAAAGUGUCCUAAAUGCAUCCUGGCUUGCUGCUAGGCUAGGUGCACACACAUUGUGCUGCCCAUUCCAGCAGCUUUUGGGAUGCUGGAAGAAGGGAAAAGUCUUUAUCUUGAGUUUUGGGGUUUUAUUCUCCAGAUCCACCAGAGUGGGAUGUGCAGCUAACAACCCCCAAGGAAUUAAAAGCCUGGUGCCCAUCAUCAGGCACAAGGUGAAGGGGUUCUGCCCCCAGGAUGAACUGGAUGGCUCCAGCCCCAUGGAGAAUUGCUGGAAAGCACCCAGUACAAACAGUGCUGCCCCUGAGGGAGAACACACCAUUGCCUCUCUGGGUGGGAUGUGCCAGAUGCACCUCUGCAAAAGCCACUACCAAACCAUGGAGCUAGGAAAAUAUCCUGGGGGAAUGGUGCUGCAGGGAUGCUCAACCCCGAGGGAAUACCUUGAGGUGAAAGAUUUUGGGAGAGGAUAUUUUAAGGGAGCAUCACCCCAGAGGUGCCAGACCCCAUUAGGAAUCCCUUCCCAGUACAGUCUGCUGGAGAUGGGCACCAUCUCACCAUCACCAGCAUGAUAGGAGAUGGAUGCUCCCAUCCCACAAAAUUCCCAAGUGGAUGUGGCCAUUUCCCCAUACAGACUCACUACCUUGCAACGCUGGCCCUUCCCAUUGAGUUAGGGAGGGGAAAAGAAUGUAAAAGUAAAAAAUAAAGGAGAUUUCUUCUCUGCUGAUCAGGGAUAAAUCCAUGAUCCAAGCCAACCAUCCCAGUGCCAAGUUAUAUCCGGUCCUUGGUGCUCUCACUUACGAUUAAAGCAACCCCCUUGGCCCCCCCCAGGCAAAGCUGAUGCCAUCUGAAAUAAAACAUCCCAGCUCCACCAUCUAAUAAAUCAAAAGGAGAAAUAAAAAUCCUGGUUUCAGUUAGGAUAUGGCUGGAGCACAAAGAAAUCCCAGGGCAGGAGAGAGAUUUGAAGAUACAGCUGUGGUGUUGCCCUUAAAAGGGAAAAUUCGCACCCUGUUCCCCGGGGCCGGAGGGUUCAGGCAAGGUGAGGAGCAGCAUCCCCAGGGUCUGCUCCACAGGGUGGCCUGUCCACCUGGGGACAUGCUUUCCAAACAGGGCUCCCAGCUGGCAAAAAUCCACCCAAAAUCAUCCCAAAGCUGGGAUCAGACCAGGGGUGUAUUGGGGUGUGGGGUCAGCAGAGCAUCCCUGAUAUUGGGGCCAUCAUGUCCCAGCCCCAGGACACCACAGAGACCUGCCUGAGUAAGAAAUAUCUCUCUAUAAAUUAUUGAGAUAAACCAUAUAUUAUAUAAACUAAACAUAUUAAUUAUUUAGAAAUGCCACUAGGUGCCACAGCCUCAUCUUGGGGACCUGCCAAUGUCCCCACGGCGGCAGCAGCCAGAGCUCCAGGAGGUUCCUCAUUAACCCAUUUUAAUUAUAAUGCUCGAUGGUUUCAUAGCACUUUUCAGCCCACAAUGGAAGAAGACAAAAACCUAAACCUAAACUGGUCCAUCAGGCAAAAAAUUCUGCCCAAAAACUCACCCAAAACAUCCUCGAGGAUGUUUCACACAGUGGCCAAGAGUGGCCAUCCUGUUCUCAGCCACCCACGGUUGCUGUCUGGCAGGAGAAGGAGCUGGAUGGGGAGCAGAAAUCCCUGGAGAACAUUUUGAGGGGAAUGUUGCUGCAGGGAUUACGGAUUCCAAGAGAAUAACCUGAGGGAAUGAUGCUGUGGGGAUGCCAGACUGCAGGAGAACCUCCUGGGAGCAAUGCUGCUGCAGGGCUGCUGGAUCCCACGAGAAUAUCCUGUGAGGAGGAUGCCAGAU